CUCAACUCCGACCCGGCAGUGGAAACUGGGGAGCUAGAGGGCGGCAGGGGCAGAAGGAAUUCCCGGUGUAGCGGUGAAAUGCGUAGAUAUCGGGAAGAACACCAGAGGCGAAAGCGUUCUGCUGGGCCGCACCUGACCCUGAGGGACGAAAGCCAGGGGAGCGAAUGGGAUUAGAUACCCCAGUAGUCCUGGCUGUAAACGAUGGAUACUAGGUGUUGGUCGUAUCGACCCGAUCGGCGCCGAAGCUAACGCGUUAAGUAUCCCGCCUGGGGAGUACGCACGCAAGUGUGAAACUCAAAGGAAUUGACGGGGGCCCGCACAAGCGGUGGAGUAUGUGGUUUAAUUCGACGCAACGCGAAGAACCUUACCAGGGCUUGACAUCCUCUGAAAAGCGUAGAGAUACGUUCCCUUAACUUCGGUUAAGCAG
rnacentral:rRNA from 1 species